ACAGCCUCAAAGCUUGAUAUAAUGGACGGCAGUUUGGAAAAGAAUGUUUUGUGCUCCUCUAUCUUUUUACUUAGAAGAGUGGCAAUCUGGGAAGUACAAAAUUAAAUGGUAAUAUGAAUAUACAGGGUGUCCAAUAAGUUUUCCAUAUAUAUGGUAUCACGAACGCCAUUACAAGCAUAAAUCCAGAUGUGUUUGAACGUGUUCUUCAGCAGUGGAGGACACGCAUUGAAAUGUGUUUUCAACACAAAAAGGCAGUCAUGUAGAGCAUAUAACACAAAUAUAUAUAUAUAUAUUUUUCCAUAAUUCAAUAAUUUCUUAUAUUUUUUCAUAUGUAUAGAAACUUAUGGGGCACCCUGUAUAUGUAGUGCUGAGAAAUUAAUUAUGUAUAUUUCUACUUUUUUUCCUAGGCUAAGGCCCAUGUAAUGUGCGAGGGUGACCAGAAUCUCAGUACCAUGUGACUAACCCCUCCCCUUCCCCUCCUCUCCUCAGUGUCCUUUUGUCCUUGCUUCCCCCCCCCCCCCUCUCAGCGUCACUGUGUUGACCACUUCUAUAACAAAAUUUACCCAGUGAAUAAACGUAAUUUCUCCUGCUUGGCCAGGUUAUAGAGGCGAAUUUUUCACCUAAUCCCAGAGAAUGGGGAGCCCUUAAUACGAUAAAAUUAAUUCUAUAAUGGUAAGGUCUUAAACCAGCUCAAACAAAUCCCAGAUAAUUACGCCGCGCCAAUGAGGUUGACGAAUCUGAUAAGUCUUCUUUGCUUCGCUGCCUUGUUACCCCUGUUGCUACGCAAGCCGGGAAGAGAUACCAGACUUUGACUAAUUCCCCAAUUGAUUUCAAAAGUCCAUUGAAUUAAACUUCUUAAAGUAACAACUAUAAAGUAAACAGUAACUUAAUUAUUCAUAUUUUUCAUCCCUGAACUCACAACCUAGUCGCCCCCCCCCCCACUAAAAACAAAAUUAUAACUUAAUAAAUUUCCCCAUUGGAAACCUUUAUCCUUAGUUUCCCGCCGAUUUCCUCACAAGCAAAGCCAGUCUCUCUCGGAUUCUCCUCAGGUGAGCAUGCAGUCUGAUAAUCUCCCCCUCCAUUCCUGUAAUAUUAACUUGACCUCAGUGCCCAGCAUGGCUUCAGCACGACUCAGCCACUCUCCUAUUGGACCAAGAGCACCGGGCAGCGCCGCAUCCAAGAGCCACAUCCAAUGAGACAGCUGCUGCGAAACCUGACACCAA